GAUGAACGCUGGCGGCGUGCCUAAUACAUGCAAGUCGAGCGAACAGACGAGGAGCUUGCUCCUCUGACGUUAGCGGCGGACGGGUGAGUAACACGUGGAUAACCUACCUAUAAGACUGGGAUAACUUCGGGGAACCGGAGCUGAUACCGGAUAAUAUAUUGAACCGCAGGGUUCAAUAGUUCAAGACGGUUUUCCUGUCACUUUGAGAUGGAUCCGCGCCGCAUUAGCUAGUUGGUAAGGUAACGGCUUACCAAGGCGACGAUGCGUAGCCGACCUGAGAGGGUGAUCGGCCACACUGGAACUGAGACACGGUCCAGACUCCUACGGGAGGCAGCAGUAGGGAAUCUUCCGCAAUGGGCGAAAGCCUGACGGAGCAACGCCGCGUGAGUGAUGAAGGUCUUCGGAUCGUAAAACUCUGUUAUUAGGGAAGAACAAAUGUGUAAGUAACUAUGCACGUCUUGACGGUACCUAAUCAGAAAGCCACGGCUAACUACGUG
rnacentral:rRNA from 1 species